CGCCGCGUGACCGCCCGGCCGCGGCCGGGACUCCUGGCCCUCGAGCCUCGUCCCCGUCCCUUAAUGGGCCGGAUGGACGCGGCGGUGCCCUGCGCGUCGCCGGGCGGGCAUGGGCCGAGGGAGUGUCGGGCUGGCCUUUCCUGAGGUCACGGUCCUCGAGCGGGCGCGCGUGGACGUACCCCCUUCACCCACGCGCGGCCGCCUCACCCUCUCGGCUCUCGUCCAGCAUGCUGUUUUCUGACACGGAGCCGUGGAGAUAAAUCUUAGGAAAAAUUUAAACGUGCUUCAGUUGAUACCAUGCAAGUAAACUGAAAUCCUGUUAUAAGUAUGACGCUGCCCUAAUACAUUUGGAUGUUUUCAGCCAAGUUGACUUGUGAACUAUCAGUUUCCUCCAAAUGUUGGCUGAAUUUUUUCCUUCCAUACCCCCAAACUCAUCUGCAAAAUCUGCACUUGAUAAUGGAGCUACUGUACUGGCUAUCGGAAGGAGGAGAUUCUGAAGAUAGGGAGAUUCAGCUAUUGAUCUUUGGCAUUUCCCGUGAUCCAUUCAACCUAGAUGCGGAGGACAUGGAACAGUCAAGUACACAAGAAGUUUAAGCGUGUUUUGGAUGUUCCCCUUUAUAGUCCAGUAUUUUUCCAGUUAAGAUGUUUAGUUGUGCAGAAGAAGGGUAUUUGCUUCAUGAUCAUCAGUUUUAUUUGAACUGACUAGUAUUGUAGAGUAUCACCAAGCAUUUUCUGUUUUCAUCAAAGUAUAGAGAGAAUAAAAUCAAUCCUGUAUGUUGACUUAUUUUCUAAAAUGUCUUUCUUGGAUUGAAUGAGUGUUUAUCCUUGGAAAAGAAGGUUCACAGCAAAAUCCCCAUCUCCAUGAAAGCGACUCCUCUGGCAGCCCAACAUCACUUGCCAAGGUACCUGUGUUACAACGAGGGGAGAAGACAAGGCUUGAAGGGGAUCCAUAGGUAUCUUUUACUUCUCUGUCUUAGUCCCCCUGGAAUAGAACAUUUCUCCCCCAAAAUAAAUGAGCUCAACUCAGA